rnacentral:rRNA from 1 species
CAAUAGCGUAUAUUAAAGUUGUUGCAAUUAAAAAGCUCGUAGUUGGAUUUGUGGUUCGUCCCGCCGGCUGGGUCAUUGACUUUUGCUGUGCUGGUCGUCCAUCCUUGGGUGGAAUCUGUGUGGCAUUAGGUUGUCGCGCAGGGGAUGCCCAUCGUUUACUGUGAAAAAAUUAGAGUGUUCAAAGCAGGCUUAUGCCGUUGAAUAUAUUAGCAUGGAAUAAUGAUAUAGGACCUUGGUACUAUUUUGUUGGUUUGCGCACUGAGGUAAUGAUUAAUAGGGACAGUUGGGGGUAUUCGUAUUCCAUUGUAAGAGGUGAAAUUCUUGGAUUUUUGGAAGACGAACUACUGCGAAAGCAUUUACCAAGGAUGUUUNCAUUAA